GGGGCUGAUUCUGGAUUCGACGGGAUUUGAGAAACCCAAGGUGCAUGCCGAGGGGCGGUUGGCCUCGUAAAAAGCCGCAAAAAAAUAGUCGCAAACGACGAAACCUACGCUUUAGCAGCUUAAUAACCUGCUUAGAGCCCUCUCUCCCUAGCCUCCGCUCUUAGGACGGGGAUCAAGAGAGGUCAAACCCAAAAGAGAUCGCGUGGAUGCCCUGCCUGGGGUUGAAGCGUUAAAACGAAUCAGGCUAGUCUGGUAGUGGCGUGUCCGUCCGCAGGUGCCAGGCGAAUGUAAAGACUGACUAAGCAUGUAGUACCGAGGAUGUAGGAAUUUCGGACGCGGGUUCAACUCCCGCCAGCUCCACCA
rnacentral:tmRNA from 2 species